AAAAAAACUUUCACAUUAUCUGCGUCGCACGUCUUUAAGUUGCAAAAGACUAAUUUGCAUCGCACCUUAUUUAACGUGCGACGCAUAUCGGACCUUAAAUCUCCCAUAAGGCCCACUUUCCUCUUUAUUUCAAAGCCAACCCUAAAAAAUACUCUAUCUCCACGCCGUCAUUCAUCUCCCCUCUCUCUCUCACUCCCCUCUUUGUUCUUUUGACUUCAUGGGUUUUUCAAUCCUUUCAAAUCUAGACAUAUCCCUAAAUUCCAUCUCCAUUAAGCAAUAAUUUCAAUGGACCAAACCCUAAUUUUCGAAUUAAGUUCCGACGAUGAAGUGGGCCUCGAUAAUUCUUCCAUCGUAGAUAAAUUCGUGUAGGUAACGAAGCGAACUGAAGAUGUUGGUGCUGAAGAUCAUGAAUUCAACGAACUGCCCUCUACCUUCUAUUACUUUCCAUGCAAAUCACUUGGCGAUUUUGAAGAACAACGAACACCAACGUGAUUUUGGCAAGACAGACUUAUUCACGCAUCUCAAGAUUUUAAUUCGUGCUGAUAAUUCUUCAAGAAUUCGAUUGGAUCUAAAAAUGGAAACCCAGGAGUUCAAAGAAGUUGCGAGUUCGACGAAUUAUGUUUAUUUUCUGUUCAAAGAAUUCGAUUCGGACCAUUUUAUUUUCAGUUCUCGAUUUUCAGAUCUGGUGGAGGAAGAAAAAGAAGAUGACAGUGAAGAUCUAGUAUUGUUGAUUGUUUUAGAUUUUAGGUUUUUUUGUAUUAGAUUUAAUUUUGUUUCUUUGGGUCAUAUUUUUUAAUUUUGUUUCAGACACAUGAAAUUAAGUUAUCCAAGUUGUAUUGUUAAUUUUGUUGCUUGUUGAUCUCAAUGGAAUGGAAGAAAAUUUUUAAUUUCGUUUCA